rnacentral:tRNA from 1 species
GGCCUUGAGGUGUAUAAUCAUGUCAGACUGCAAAUCUGAAGUUGGCAGCUGCCCGGGGCUU